CAGCCGCCGCGGGAAUACGUAGGUGGCAAGCGUUGUCCGGAAUUAUUGGGCGUAAAGGGCUCGCAGGCGGUUUCUUAAGUCUGAUGUGAAAGCCCCCGGCUCAACCGGGGAGGGUCAUUGGAAACUGGGAAACUUGAGUGCAGAAGAGGAGAGUGGAAUUCCUCGUGUAGCGGUGAAAUGCGUAGAGAUGUGGAGGAACACCAGUGGCGAAGGCGACUCUCUGGUCUGUAACUGACGCUGAGGAGCGAAAGCGUGGGGAGCGAACAGGAUUAGAUACCCGAGUAGUCCCUGUCUCUUAUAC
rnacentral:rRNA from 1 species